AAAUAAUGUUUCAUUGCGUCCUAUAUGUUUGCCGCGUAUGGUACUGUUGGAAUAAAUAUAAGGGUUUCAAUGAAAAAAAAAAAAAACAAAAAAAAACUGUGUUAACAUAGGUCUAAAAAAAAAAGCAAAAUUAGUAUACUUGUGUUCACAAGCCAUAAAUCGAUUGAGAGAAACAAAUCUGGAUUAAAAACUAUAACCGAGGGAUACACAUUAACCAUAAGAAGUGAACAAAGAAAAAACAGAAACACUAUAAAGGCAUGCAAUAAAAACAAACGCCAAUAUACAUAGAGACUGACUAUUUCAUAAUAACAUCUGCAAUUUAAGGACUAUUCUAAUAUCAUUAUUAUGAAAUGAAAUAAACAUGGUGAACAACUUGAUGAUCUAAGCAUCGUCUAGAUUUUAAAUAUAUUAUCCUCACUAGAGAAUUCAAAAAUUGCUGCUAACAAACAUCGUUUACAUCAAAAUACUUCUCAUUUUUCAAAAAAUACUGUAACACAAUGACUUAACUUUAUAGGCGGUAUUUAAAAUAUUAUUUAUGAUGUAAGUAUAACAUUAUUACAUAUUUUCCCUGUUAGCCAUAAAACCACACUGAUUGUCUGAUUGGUAGAUUGAUAGCCUCUGCUGUGAUAGGUGUCGUUGGUUUGAGCACCGACGGUCUAAAAACUUGAACAUUGGCCG
rnacentral:lncRNA from 1 species